CCUGCGCGCCUUGCUUCAGGUGCCCGACGCCACGCGCGUACGAGGUGAAACAGGGAAGCCGGUACAGAAUCCGGCGCUGCCCCCGCAACGGUAGGUGAGUCAAACGCCGCUCUAUUGCCACUGUGCUUCGUGCAUGGGAAGGCGCGGCGCUAGCCCGCGAGGCUCGCUCACAAGCCCGGAGACCGGCCUGCUGCAGUCCACGGCA
rnacentral:ncRNA from 2 species